GAUAACCGGAGAAAUCGGAUAAUAUCCCAUAAAGAUAUUUGAGGGCAUCCUUGGAUAUAUAAAGCUCAGGCGGUACGGGAUGGGCAUGCGGAACAUUAGCUAGUUGGCAGGGUAACGGCCUACCAAGGCAACGAUGUUUAGGGGACCUGAGAGGGUGAUCCCCCACACUGGUACUGAGACACGGACCAGACUCCUACGGGAGGCAGCAGUGAGGAAUAUUGGUCAAUGGGCGCAAGCCUGAACCAGCCAUCCCGCGUGCAGGAAGACGGCCCUAUGGGUUGUAAACUGGUUUUCCAGGGGGAGAAUUAUCCUGUCGUGACAGGAAUUGACGGUACCCUGGGAAUAAGCAUCGGCUAACUCCGUGCCAGCAGCCGCGGUAAUACGGAGGAUGCGAG
rnacentral:rRNA from 1 species